rnacentral:rRNA from 1 species
UACGAAGGGGGCUAGCGUUGCUCGGAAUCACUGGGCGUAAAGCGCACGUAGGCGGGUCUUUAAGUCGGAGGUGAAAUCCUGGAGCUCAACUCCAGAACUGCCUUCGAUACUGAGGAUCUCGAGUCCGGGAGAGGUGAGUGGAACUGCGAGUGUAGAGGUGAAAUUCGUAGAUAUUCGCAAGAACACCAGUGGCGAAGGCGGCUCACUGGCCCGGUACUGACGCUGAGGUGCGAAAGCGUGGGGAGCGAACAGG